rnacentral:misc_RNA from 1 species
CCAAAGAUGGCGGGCCUCCGUGCCCCCGUCCCCAACCCAUUGUUGACCAAAACCCUUUUGCCUCGGGGGCAGAGCGUCCGCCGCCGCCCCCGGAGGACCACCGAACGCUGUCUCUUUGCGUCGGAGUAAUUGAUUAAAUGAAUGA